rnacentral:rRNA from 1 species
CCUACGGGAGGCAGCAGUAGGGAAUAUUGGGCAAUGGGCGGAAGCCUGACCCAGCCACGCCGCGUGCAGGAAGACGGCCCUCUGGGUUGUAAACUGCUUUUGACUGGGAAGAAAGAAGCCCAUGCGUGGGAAGUUGACGGUACCAGUCGAAUAAGCCACGGCUAACUACGUGCCAGCAGCCGCGGUAAUACGUAGGUGGCAAGCGUUAUCCGGAUUUAUUGGGUUUAAAGGGUGCGUAGGCGGUUUAAUAAGUCAGUGGUUAAAGGUAGCAGCUUAACUGUUUUACAUGCCACUGAUACUGUUGAACUUGAGUUGACAGAAGGCAGAUAGAAUUUCUGGUGUAGCGGUGAAAUGCUUAGAUACCAGAAGGAAUACCGAUUGCGAAGGCAGUCUGCUGCAGUCACACUGACGCUGAGGCACGAAAGUGCGGGGAUCAAACAGGAUUAGAUACCCUGGUAGUCCGCACAGUAAACGAUGAUUACUAGAUGUUGGUCGUAUGCACGUGUACCGAACGGGAAACCGGAACGUAAGUAAGUACCGACCGUCGGGGUAGGUACGGCCGGACCGUAACCGGUAGUAAACGUUACGAAAGGUAAAGUUAGUUACGGCGUUGAGACGUGCCGACGGACGACGACGAGGGAGGAGG